CGUAGGGUCCAAGCGUUGUUCGGAAUUACUGGGCGUAAAGCGCGCGUAGGCGGGUUUGCAAGUCGAUUGUGAAAUCCCUGGGCUUAACCCGGGAACUGCAGUCGAAACUGUAAAUCUUGAGUGCCUGAGAGGAUGGCGGAAUUCCCGGUGUAGUAGUGAAAUACGUAGAUAUCGGGAAGAACACCUGAGGCGAAGGCGGCUAUCUGGCGGUGCACUGACGCUGAGGCGCGAAAGCGUGGGGAGCAAACAGGAUU
rnacentral:rRNA from 1 species